rnacentral:rRNA from 1 species
CGAACGCUGGCGGCGUGCUUAACACAUGCAAGUCGAACGGAAAGGCCCUGCUUUUGUGGGGUGCUCGAGUGGCGAACGGGUGAGUAACACGUGAGUAACCUGCCCUUGACUUUGGGAUAACUUCAGGAAACUGGGGCUAAUACCGGAUAGGAGCUCCUGCUGCAUGGUGGGGGUUGGAAAGUUUCGGCGGUUGGGGAUGGACUCGCGGCUUAUCAGCUUGUUGGUGGGGUAGUGGCUUACCAAGGCUUUGACGGGUAGCCGGCCUGGGAGGGUGACCGGCCACAUUGGGACUGAGAUACGGCCCAGACUCCUACGGGAGGCAGCAGUGGGGAAUAUUGCACAAUGGGCGGAAGCCUGAUGCAGCAACGCCGCGUGCGGGAUGACGGCCUUCGGGUUGUAAACCGCUUUCGCCUGUGACGAAGCGUGAGUGACAGUAAUGGGUAAAGAAGCACCGGCUAACUACGUG